rnacentral:rRNA from 1 species
CCUACGGGAGGCAGCAGCGGGGAAUAUUGGGCAAUGGGCGCAAGCCUGACCCAGCAACGCCGCGUGAAGGAAGAAGGCUUUCGGGUUGUAAACUUCUUUUCUCAGGGACGAAGCAAGUGACGGUACCUGAGGAAUAAGCCACGGCUAACUACGUGCCAGCCGCCGCGGUAAUACGUAGGUGGCAAGCGUUAUCCGGAUUUACUGGGUGUAAAGGGCGUGUAGGCGGGGCUGCAAGUUAGAUGGGAAAACCACGGGCUAAACCUGUGGCCUGCAUUGGAAACUGUAGUUCUUGAGUACUGGAGAGGCAGACGGAAUUCCUAGUGUAGCGGUGAAAUGCGUAGAUAGUAGGAGGAACACCAGUGGCGAAGGCGGUCUGCUGGACAGCAACUGACGCUGAGGCGCGAAAGCGUGGGGAGCAAACAGGAUUAGAUACCCGAGUAGUC